CUGGGAAUUCUUCCAGGCUUCAUUGCAUCAUUCUUUCACUGUGAACACUUUAUGUAUGUUUACUCCCCCCUUGGAUAAUUUCUUAAGACCUCAGAAUUAUGGACAUACUUUUAUCUUGCUCUCAUAUAAUGUAGCUGUUUUGGGGGGGAAGUCUUCAUUCAUAUUAAUUCCAGAGAGGCUUUUGAAGAUGGUGCUUCCCUGCCCUUUAGAAUUCAGUUUUACUGAAAAAGAGUUAGCAAUUUAG
rnacentral:lncRNA from 1 species